rnacentral:rRNA from 1 species
UACGAAUCGUCCAAACGUUAUUCGGAAUCACUGGGCUUGAAGAGUGCGUAGGCGGUUUUGUAAGUUAGAGGUGAAAGCCCGGGGCUCAACCCCGGAACUGCCUUUAAGACUGCAUCGCUUGAAUCCGGGAGAGGUGAGUGGAAUUCCGAGUGUAGAGGUGAAAUUCGUAGAUAUUCGGAAGAACACCAGUGGCGAAGGCGGCUCACUGGACCGGUAUUGACGCUGAGGUGCGAAAGCGUGGGGAGCAAACAGG